rnacentral:siRNA from 1 species
UCUCUGUUGCUUGUAGCGCCUC